AAAACCGCUAUUCUCUUAGUGAGUUGUCUGAGUAAUAACAUGCAUUGUGUUACAAUCUAUCUCAAAAUCAAGUGCUGCAUGUAAAAAGAUCUUCUGUCAACACACCUACACAAAACAGACCGGGAAACGUAUAGCGUGAUUCGGAUACGCAUCAAUGAUCACAUGUUAUAUAUAGAAAAUUAUUCGGGACAGGGUAUUCAUGACUUAAAAUCAGACCAGGAAGUGAAUUUAUUCAUUUAAUAUCUAAUACAAAAUGUAUAUGUUGAAAUAAGGCAUAGGGGGUGGAAGAGAGGAUUCGGAAUAACCCCGAUACAAGGAAGCACUGGGCAGGUGGGAAUGCAGUUAUGAUGAGUGAGGACCAUUCUAAUAUCUCUGUCAUUUCAAUGUUUGGCCUUUUACUAGUACUGUUUUCAUCGACAGGAGCGGUAAGAUUAUCAGGAUCUUCUGACUAUGCUGUCCCUGGGAGUCCUUUUAAUUUAAUAUGUGACGUUCCAGAUGUAGCUGAAAAUGUCACAUUUUAUAGAAGUCCUGAUCGGGUUGUCGGCAGUGUUAAAGUGUUGAAUGCGUCGUGCUACUAUUACAAUGAAACCAGUGACAUUCCUUGUGGCGAAUCUUUCUGUGAAUGUCUGCCUUCAGGAGAUGGCGUUGGCAGAAAAUUCAACUGGACGAUCAGACCAACAGCGCAGGAUCAUUCUUCAUCUUGGUUUUGUGUUCGAUACAAUCCAUGGAGGAUCGACGAAACAUUGAACAGCCCGGACUACAUUCUUCAAAUAGCGAAAAGUCCAGAUGGAGAUAUAUCCCUGAACCCUCCGAGUACCAACUACAACAAAAAAGAGGGCGAAAUAUUACCGGAUAUCACAUGUAUAGCUGACUGUAGACCUGGCUGUAAAUUUGUCUGGACAAAGCCGGACUACACAAACUUCACUUCAUCUGUAUUGUCACUGAGUCAACUUAACAGAACGGAACAAGGGACAUACAGGUGUACAGCAAGGAAUACAUACGGAACAAACUCGAUCACAGUCAUGGUGAUAGUUAAUUACGGUCCAGGCGAAUCUGUUGCUCUAAGCCCGCCGACUAGCGUGUACAUCAGAAAUGAGGGUGUCACCUUACCGGAUAUCAACUGCAUAGCUGACUGUAGACCUAGCUGUACAUUUUUCUGGACAAAGCCGGAUAAAAUCAUCUUCGUUGCCUCAUCUUCAUCUGUGUUGUCACUCGGACAACUGGAUAGGUCAGAACACGGGCGUUACAGGUGUAAUGCAAGGAAUGAAGUCAGCAAUACCACACGAGAAAUCAACGUUACAGUACAAUAUCCCCCACAUAUUCUGAGUCUCUCGUACGACCAAGGUAAUGCUAACGUGAAAGAGAAUGAGGCGAAAUCAAUGUCUUGUGCAGUAGACAGUUACCCAUCCUCCACUAUCACGUGGUACUUCAAUAAUAUAACCUUAUUGACCACCUUUGACGUUAUGGAGAGUACCUACAUCCUCGCUAAUGCUGGCUGUCAAGACACAGGAAUCUACACCUGCUCUGCAAGAAACAGUGCAUCAAAUGCACCAUAUACUAUGGAUAUAUAUAUUAAUGUCUUGUGUAAACCGAGGAUUGAUACUAGAGUAAACACAGUUUUUACGAUCGGAAUCGGUUUAUCAAGGGACCUGGUUCUAACUGCAUCUUACCUGUCAAACCCGGAACCAACAUUCACCUGGCUGUUUCACAUGGCGGCUAAAACUGAAGACCUCGUGCACGGGAAAGAACGUGUUUCCAUACGUAGCACAUAUCAUGCCACUGAUCUGGCUGCUGUCUCUACUCUAACGAGAUCAAGAAUGGAGGAGAGGUGGUUCGGGAUUUACAUCGUAACCGUUACCAAUGACCAAGGCAGUGAUACAGUGGUGUACACAGUGACUGCAGCCGAUAAACCCAACCCUCCCGUCCAAGGCAAAGCUGACUGUCCUUUCGCCAACAGAGCCCUUUUGAGUUGGAUCUCAGAUUUCAAUGGCGGUUCAGAGCAAAAAUUCGUUGUGGGGAUGAAGGGCGAUCAAGAGGACACUUAUGUCAUCAACACAAAUACAAAAUACGAUGAUCCAGGACGUGGUAAACGUAUCGACGCAGAACUUUCUGAUCUAUUGCCGGAUAGACUGUAUUUUUUCAGCGUCAUUGCAAUUAAUGAACAUGGCAAUUCAAGUCUCGUGAAUGAAGUGAAUUGUACGACUAAAGCAAUUCCAGUGGUUGAGGGUUCUAACACAGCGGGGAUCGUCGUUGGAGUGGUGGUUUCCAUUUUAAUCAUUGCUGCACUCUCUAUCGCGGUCGUCAUAUUCAGGAGGAAGAUGUUUACAUAUUGCAAGAAAGGUAAAAAACAUGAUGAUACGCAAAUGACAAGUCCUAGAAAUGGGAAAGUAUUUGAAUUAGUUGUUUUUUCAACAAAAAAAACCCCGAUCCAUAUGACAGUUUAGAUCCAGAACAACUUUACCAGAAUCAAGUGGUUGAUGAAGCCGAAGCAAUCCAAGUCAGUGAAGGAAAUAGGAUCAGCACCUACGAGUCAUUGCA
rnacentral:misc_RNA from 1 species